GCACGACAUUCUUUGGUCUCCGAUUUCGAAUGAAGGAUGGUGUCAGUCUUCAAGUAUUGUAUAAAAGGUUCUGGGACUCUUACCGAUGCUAGCAGUGUAAAGCUACAUUAUCAUCCACACGGUUCUAAAGUCAAUCCUUUUGUCUGCAGAAUGCGUCCGUUGUGCGUGUUGGUCGUCUUUUUCUUACCCGUCAUUUUGCCAACUGAAGCUGCUCCAUUACCGGAGCGUUCGAUAGUUGUCCCGAAAUUCGAGCCACUAAUCUCCGUACCCGACAUUGUGGUUGAUCCUAUUCCUCCGUCUUCAUCGACGGUUGCCACCAUUGUCUCUCAACAUCAACAUCUAUCCCUCAACGGUGACUACGCAUACGGUUUCGUCAGCAAUAACGGAAUCGAAGUGGAGGAGAAGGGUGGCCAGAAAGAAAUCGAAGGGGCGGAUGGAGAAAAAACAUUCGGAACAGCCUCGAGUGGUAAAUACUCUUACAACAUCGUCGAGGACGGAAAGAUAAAAAAAUGACAGUUGUUUGGACGGCUGAUGAAAAAGGAUUUCGCCCCGUCAUUACCAUUUCCGAUGUUUGAUUUUGAUAAAAAUAAUAAUAAUGUAAUCGACCAAAAAAGUGUGGCAACCUGUUUCAUUUGCCAUUCCGCCGCUUUAAUUUGCUCUUUGUUUCAUGCCAAAAAUCCGUUAUAAACAACUCUAACCGCUAAAUGUAAACCUAAGCAACUAUAAAAUUUUAAUAAAAGCGCUACAUCAAGCAGUUUAACAAAGA